AGCGAAUAGAUACCCGGGUAGUCCAUGCUGUAAACGAUGGAUGCUAGCUGUGAUGCGUAUCGACCCGCGUCGUAGCGAAGCUAACGCGUUAAGCAUCCCGCCUGUGGAGUACGGCCGCAAGGCUAAAACAUAAAGGAAUUGACGGGGACCCGCACAAGCGGUGGAGCGUGUUGUUUAAUUCGAUGGUAAGCGAAGAACCUUACCCAGGUUUGACAUCCUUGGAAGUUCUGCGAAAGCAGAGUGUGCCUUCGGGAACCAAGUGACAGGUGAUGCAUGGCCGUCUUCAGCUCGUGUCGUGAGACGUUAGGUUAAGUCCUUCAACGAGCGCAACCCUUAUAGUUAGUUGUAUUUUCUAGCUAGACUGCCCUGGUAACAGGGAGGAAGGAGGGGACGAUGUCAGGUCAGUAUCUCCCUUAUAUCUGGGGCUACAAAC
rnacentral:rRNA from 1 species